rnacentral:rRNA from 1 species
UACGAGAGGCCCAAACGUUAUUCGGAAUUACUGGGCUUAAAGAGUUCGUAGGCGGCGCGGAAAGUGGGGUGUGAAAGCCCUCGGCUCAACCGAGGAAUUGCGCUCCAAACUACCGUGCUUGAGGAAGCUAGAGGUGAGCAGAACUGAUGGUGGAGCGGUGAAAUGCGUUGAUAUCAUCAGGAAUAUCGGAGGCGAAGGCGGCUCACUGGGGCUUUUCUGACGCUGAGGAACGAAAGCCAGGGUAGCGAACGGG